UGAAUUGGAGGGUUUAGAUAUGCUUUGAUUCAUUAUUCUCUUCCGAACAACUUUGUAUCUGAAUCCCUUUGCUUGUACAGUGGGAUAUUUAGUUUGGCCUUGGCUGAUGCUUUGAAUUUUGUUGCCAUACUCUAACGGUCGUAUAAAUUUGGCAAAGCAGGGCCAGAUGUUUGUUUUCUAUCCAAAUGCAAAACUUGGUAUACAAUCAAGCAUGAAAAGAAAAGGUCACUGCUUGCGAAUUGUAUGAGAGGUGACAUCAAUCGUAAUUAAUUCAACUAGAUCAUUCAGUGUGUAUCAUGCUUAGGCAAGUAGAAAACUCAGAUAUAGCAAAGAGAUGAUGAAACCCUUCUUUUAAUUUGCUUUUAGUGUGUGUGACAGUUUUCUAACUUGAUGCUGCCACCUGAAGACGUGUGCCGGUAUUGAAGGAGGCUUAAAAGCUUGCAGGCUGCAGCUUGUUCUCUUUUUCCAUAGUGCUUUUUUGCUACUUAUUGUAAAGGUUUUUGAUAUGAAGUCCUUGUUUCAGGAUAAAUACUAGUUCUUAUGAUGGAUUGGAUGACACUAAAUGAUGCGGACUUAAUCUUCAUCUGCUUGGAACAAGUGUAUAAAUUUUUCUGUCCAGUACACACCCAAUAGAUUUUGGCUUGUUUAUCUGAAAGUUAUUGGCUGUCGCUCUAUUUGAAUUAAUAGUUGUACCAUUUUCACCCUCUGUGUAGGUCUGCAAUUUUUGUUUUCAAUUCUUCUCUUGAUAUCAAUUUACCUCUGCUGUUUUACUAUGAUGUCACAAAGGUUAUUAUUUUCAGCCAAUCUGGUUAGUGCAUAGGUGUUGCCAGACUUUUUUACUGAUAUGCUCUGUUAAGACAUUAUCCUCUCUUUUGUGAUCUGGUUCAAAUGUCUAUAUCUUUGGUACGAAUAUUUCAAGGUUUAAUGGCUAUGGAACUAGAUUGAUGAUUUAUAGUUUCACAACAUUCACAUAUUGCAGAGUCGGUCAAAGAUCUCAGGAUAUAUUAUAUGAUACUGGUAAGUCUUCCUUCAAAUACCUCCAGGUUUUAGGAGAUUGGAAACCUAAUAUGGUAUAAGAGGUCACAAGCCACCUAUAUAUAUUCGAUAAUAGUGGUUCAGCAUGCUGUUUAAUAUUGCUUCCCUUUUGUUUAUAUUAGUCCUGUUUCGUGUGUCAUUAAUGCAGAUUGUUCUUUUGUUUAAACACACUUCUAUAAAAAGAAAUAUUCCCUUAGGAAAUUUUGUGGGAAAAAAGUUUGUGAUUUCUUAGAAGAGAUUAUUUUUGUUUUCAAAAAGAAUCUGAUUCCAUUUUAUGUGCGCCUUUGAUAGGUAGUCUCUUUUAUUUUGCUUCCUUUAAAAGAAGAGAGUCCAUGCAUUUCUUAACAAAUGUAAAAAGUGUCAUUUGAUUCCAUGAAGCACCAAAGUGGAAUAUUGCCUAAAUUUCUUUGCGUUUUGAAGAAGAAAUCCGCACCCAAUGUAUAUUCUUAGUAAUCUUUGUGUUCCUACUUGUUAAAUAGACCCUGAUGAGUCCUUUAGUUCCUGCAUAAACCUUUAGACAUACUUAUAAGCUUUGCUGAAGUUAUAGCCUACCAGAAUACAUAAUUCCAUGGCAAAAAAACAGAACACCUCGAACUCCACAGGAGGUUUCCUGAAAUUUUACAGGCGUGGCCUCAGCACUAUCCGUGGAGACCCUCAAAAAUCAGUUCCUGUUAGCACUACUGAUCAUAAUCUUAUGUCACCUGCAGGAAAUGAUGUAGUUGUGAAGACUGAUAUUCCGAUUCAGGGGACUAAGCUGAAAAAACAGGAAACACUGACUGACAUGUUUUCGGGAUAUAUUAGAAGAGUUAAGAAUGGGAUGAGAAGCAGCUCUGGUGCUAGUGGUGCUAAAGUUGACUCGAGGCCAGAUAGUUUUAAUGAUAAUGUGUCAAGGUAUAUUCGUCGCACCAAGGUGAAUAUCAGACGUUCGUCGUCGUUGAGUAUUGGUGAUGGAAAGAGUGCUACUUUUAAAUGAAAAUCAGCAUGCGGUCCUAAAUUUUGUGAUGAUAAAGUCACUUGUACAUGUGUGAAUUGUGAUCACGAAGUUGUGUUUGUGUAAUGUCUGUCCGGUUAAUUUGAUGUCAUAUUUAUGUACUCCAUCCACCAGCUGGCUUCUCUCGCGUUAAUGCAAUUAUAUUUUUUACAUGCA